rnacentral:rRNA from 1 species
AGAUUGAACGCUAGCGGGAUGCUUUACACAUGCAAGUCGAACGGCAGCGCGGACUUCGGUCUGGCGGCGAGUGGCGAACGGGUGAGUAAUAUAUCGGAACGUGCCCAGUAGCGGGGGAUAACUACGCGAAAGCGUGGCUAAUACCGCAUACGCCCUACGGGGGAAAGGGGGGGAUUCUUCGGAACCUCUCACUAUUGGAGCGGCCGAUAUCAGAUUAGCUAGUUGGUGAGGUAAAGGCUCACCAAGGCGACGAUCUGUAGCUGGUUUGAGAGGACGACCAGCCACACUGGGACUGAGACACGGCCCAGACUCCUACGGGAGCAGCAGUGGGAAUUUGGACAAUGGGGGAAACCCUGACUCAGCCAUCCCGCGUGUGCGAGUGAACGG